UGAUAAAUUCAAGAUACGUUCAGUAAAACUUCUAUGGUUUACAGAAAUUAGUUAAAUAGCAAUGAAAAUAAUAUUAUUAACAUUAUGACGAUCACAUUUUAUAUAACCUACGCAUAGGUUGCAGAUCCAAAAUCUGGCAAAAAUCCCUUGGUAUGAUAUAUCA